UGAGGAAUAUUGCGCAAUGGGCGAAAGCCUGACGCAGCGACGCCGCGUGGAGGAUGAAGGUCUUAGGAUUGUAAACUUCUGUUAAGUGGGACGAAAGACCUAUUUCUAAUACAAAUAGGGGAUGACGGUACCAUUAGAGAAAGCACCGGCUAAUCUCGUGCCAGCAGCCGCGGUAAUACGAGAGGUGCAAGCGUUAUUCGGAAUUAUUGGGCGUAAAGGGUGCGUAGGCGGCAUAUUAAGUCAACUGUUAAAUACUCCGGCUCAACUGGAGACAUGCGGUAGAUACUGAUGUGCUUGAGGAUGAAAGAGAGAAGUGGAAUUCUCGGAGUAGCGGUAAAAUGCGUAGAUCUCGAGAGGAACACCAAUGGCGAAGGCAGCUUCUUGGUUCAUUUCUGACGCU
rnacentral:rRNA from 1 species